GGGAGAGACUCAGGAGGAACUGAUGGGAGAUCCUAGGAGAGGAGAAGGAGAGAAACUCUGCUCCUUCAACAGUUCCUGUCUCU